CUGACCUCGAAUCAGGUGGGACUACCCGCUGAACUUAAGCAUAUCAAUAAGCGGAGGAAAAGAAACUAACAAGGAUUCCCUUAGUAACUGCGAGUGAAGUGGGAUGAGCUCAAAUU
rnacentral:rRNA from 1 species